UUUUUUUUUUUUUUUUUUUUUUUUUAAAGGACAACUUACAUACUUAGGUUGCUCCAAAAGUAAAGUCUCCUAUUUCCUUCCAUGGAAACUACAGCAGAUAAAAAGAGCACAGUAACAUGAUUUGAUAGAGCAAAUUCCCAGCUACAAAAUGCUAUUUUUAACCAUGGCCACCACUAUUAGCUAUGCAUUUUUGUGAGUGAUGAGCAAAAGCUUGCAUGACAUGCUUAUAAAAAUCUGCACCAGUGGAGAUGACCCACUGUUUCACAGUUGCUAUGAUGGCAUCAUUUCUAGGAAAAUGUUGUCCGUGCAGUCCAUCUUUCAUCAGCCCAAAUAAAUGGAAGUCAGAAGGCACCAAACCCAGAGUAUACAGUGAGUGUGGUAGGACGGAUCAGCCAAGAUUGACAAUGUGCUCCACGCUCUUCAAACUGUCUCUGUGCCUGAUGUUAUCAUGUUGUUGGAGAAAGACUUCUUCUCUGGACUUUGGAAGCUCGAGCUUUCAAUUUAGUAAGCAUGAUGAUGUAGCAGUCAGAGUUGAUGGUUUGUCUGACUUCCAGGAAAUCCAGAGGUUUCACACCUUUCCUGUCCCAAACAAUAGUGCACAUCACUUUGAGCCUUGAAAGUUUUCUUCAGUGGAAGAAUUCACGUGUCGUCAUUUCAUGCAAUGACAUUUUGAAUAUGGCUCAUAGUAAUGAUACCACAUCUCAUCGCCAGUAAUGAUGUGAUCCAGGAAACUGUCAUUUUCAGCCUUGUGUUGGUUUAAUGGAUCCUGACAAACUUGCAUACUGUGUUCUUUCUGUUCCUGUGUGAGUACUCAUGGGAUUCACCCGCUGCAAACUUUGUAGUCAAUGUUGCCACCGUCAUUUCCAAUGAACUGAAGCCAAUGUUCAGAUUUGUACACAGUUCUCUUGUUGUAAUCCAAUAAUCUGUGUGAAUGAGCUGAUUGAGACACUCUUUAUUUUGUGGUCUAACAGUUGUGCAUGGCAACCUAGAACACUGGUGUUGCCACUGCUGAAAUGCACCACCCACUGCCUCACUGUGCUGACAUGUGCUCUUUGGUCUCCAUAAGCUUUCAGCUAGUGUUGAUGAAUGCCAAUGGGUGCAAUUUUUUUCCACAUGGAGAAAUUAAGUUCCACACCUUUGCUUCACACACACAUCUAUGUCAGACACCACUGUGUCACACUGCCCCUCUGCUGCCUUCUGUCACAUGGAAACAAAAUAUAGUUGAAUAUUGGUGGGAAGGUGCAACUUUUACUGCCAUACCACCAACAUCUGCUUUUGAUGUCAUGAACCAACAUAAUAAAAUAGGAGGUAUUACUUUUGGAGCAGCCCUUGAACCUGGGAGUCUGUCUCCUUGAACUGGCUAAAAAAAAAAUCAGUCGGUGAGAGGAUUACAAGACAAAUAAAAAGGCACUAUGCAUCUGUCCUGUUUUAUACAUGUAACAGAGAAGUAUAAAUUGUGGGGGUGGGUAUCUCAGCUCAUUUUAACUUUGAUAAUCUCUAACAUCAAAUAUGGCAGGCACACACACACACACACACACACACGCACACACAAAGUAGUGAAGAAGGAAGAGUUAAUACGGGCUGCUUUGAACUACUCAUUUAAUUCUUAUUUUGGCCAAGGAGGACUAGUGGUAACACCUGAUGGUCAUUCUGUAACCACAUCACAGUCAAAGUGGGAAUUACAGUGUUACUAUGUGUCUUGAUUGUCAGAGAAAAGCUGAGGGACUGAGAUAAGAGAUACCUGGUAACUUAGGAAAAAUCUUGAGGACUGUAUUACUGGUAGAGCUCAGGCAUACGAAGUAGGGUUCAACUCUAAGUGGGGUUCAUUAUCUAUACUUGCUGAUCUGGUCAAUAAUGUGCCAAGGAAGACUCAGAAGACGCGAGCCUAAUUCCCAGAUCUGUCUUUGAUUUUCUGCAUUACUUUUUCUCCACUUUUUUUUUCCCUGACUACAUUUAAAAUAUAAAUAAUGAUGUACUAUCACCUGUGUUUUGAAGUCUGUAUACUAAAAUAAGCUCAGUGAUAAUAAACACAUUUCAAAUGC
ensembl:lncRNA